CCCAACUGCCCAAGUCUACUCUAAGGAUUGGGGCAUUAGGCCAUUAGCAUAUCUGCAUAUGGCAGUACAAUUCCGAGUUUCACUGUCACAAUUCCGAUUAGGCUAUUACCGACUCCUCACUCCUCACAAUUCCCGAUUCCUCUCUCCUCACUCCUCGGUCAUGAACGAACUCAGUAAUCAGUACUGACUCCGCACUCCUCAGAAAGUCAAUUCCGACUUUGGGCGGGGAGAUAAUUUCACAAAUUCCGGGCAAACGAAGACAAAAUACAGAAAGAGAUCAAUGCCUGUUGCAAUAGUUUCAAAGGUAUGUGUACACGGUGAAAUUAGAGGGUCCAAUUUCUCGCCAUCGAGGCAUAUCAGAAGACCAUCUCAAAGUCUCAAAGCUACACGGUUAUGAUCGAGUUUCUGCCCUCGAGGUUCAUGCUCGACCCAAGGGCAUUGUUGACCACGACUGUGAUAGCGAUGGGCACGAUUAGGACUGACCGAGCCUAGUGGUACCCUAGCCCUAAAUCAGGGUGUCAUACCCAUCCCUUUAUCUUUGUAAUUAAUAUAUUUUGUACUAUAUUAGGAUUCCUUAUCACUUUGUAACUCCCUAUUGCUUCAAUGAUUCCACACGAAAUAUACAAAAACAUUCUAUUUGCUCUCUAACAUGCUCU
rnacentral:lncRNA from 1 species